rnacentral:rRNA from 1 species
GAGUUUGAUCCUGGCUCAGAUUGAACGCUGGCGGCAUGCCUUACACAUGCAAGUCGAACGGCAGCACGGGAGCUUGCUCCUGGUGGGCGAGUGGCGAACGGGUGAGUAAUGCAUCGGAACGUAUCCUGGAGUGGGGGGAUAACGUAGCGAAAGUUACGCUAAUACCGCAUAUUCUGUGAGCAGGAAAGCGGGGGACCUUCGGGCCUCGCGCUCUUGGAGCGGCCGAUGUCGGAUUAGCUAGUUGGUGAGGUAAAGGCUCACCAAGGCGACGAUCCGUAGCAGGUCUGAGAGGAUGAUCUGCCACACUGGAACUGAGACACGGUCCAGACUCCUACGGGAGGCAGCAGUGGGGAAUUUUGGACAAUGGGGGCAACCCUGAUCCAGCCAUGCCGCGUGAGUGAAGAAGGCCUCGG